ACAGCUGCGCCCCGCCGCGCCCGGGUGCCGCUUGCCGCACCCCCGAGCCUGAGCCCGUCUACCUCGUGGCUGCCUGAGGCCCGGGGUGGUUAUGAAGAUAAAAUGCAAUAAAUGUGUGUGAGGGCAACUGACGAGCCAGGAAGCCUUGGCAUCCAGAGUUAUUACUGGGACGUCAUGGGAAAUGAGGAUAUGGGAACAGAGUAUUUAUGCAUUUAUUCAAACUCAUCUCUAACAACCGUGCUUUGAAGGCUGGCUGCAUCCCAGGCCCUACAGAUCUAGGCUGGCUGGGGCGGUGGCUCAUGCCUGUAAUCCCAGCACUUUGAGAGGCCGAGACCGGUGGAUCACGAGAUCAUCAGGAGAUGAGACCAUCCUGGCUAACAUGUUAGCCUGGCCUCCAGAGCUCUUGGACUGCAGCACCCAUAAUGAUGGCCAAAGCCGCCCCCACGGCGACUCCUCCUGCUGAAGCAAAGUCAGGCAGAACAAUAAGAUGAGCAUGGUGGUGCAGGCCUGUAAUCUCAGCUCCUCAGGCGGGAGGAUCACUUGAUCCCCGGAAGUUUGAAGCUGGACUGCGCUGACCGCACCUGUGAAUACCACUGCCCGUCAAUCAGCCUAGGGGAAACAUUCUCGAGUGCGAGCAUGACGGCUUAGGUUGAUGUUUUUCAAAUUUUCCCAAUGAUGAGUAUUGUAAGGGACCAAAAUAAAAAAAUGCCAAUGCCUA